rnacentral:misc_RNA from 1 species
UUCCUCUUCUCUCUCUGACACUUGUCCGAUGCUUCUCCGGUAAUGAAACUGAUAAAUUCCGAUACACACUCUUGAACUGUUUCCUUAGCAUCCUUCGAAAUUUUCGCGUUCGCCGGUAAAGCUUUCUUCAUAAUUCUGCUCACGUUUGCUAUCGGAAGGAACCUGUCUUGUUCCCUUGUUGAUCCUUCACUGUUCGCGUUAUUGUGACCUCCUGAUUCGUUGUCUGAAUCAGCCAUCGCCAAUCCCCAAAUUCUCCAAAUUCAAAAAAACGGUACUCCAGAAAAAACUGCUAAAACAACAAAAACGAAAAAAAAAACCUUUAUCACCGUACCGGAAAUGUUAACUGGGUUUGGAUUUUCCGGCGAGAAUUUAAAAGGGGGAAGUAGAUUCUCCGGCGAGAAAAAUACAAAUUGUAUACAAACAGAUGGAACAAAAACCGACAGACCAAAAUUAGGGAGAAACGUUCGCCGGGAAAUAUUUUCCGGCCGGGGAGAGAGAGAG